UGCCGGUGUGGCGGAAUUGGUAGACGCGCUGGAUUCAAAAUCCAGUUUCCAGUAGGAAGUAUCGGUUCGACUCCGAUCACCGGUAU
rnacentral:tRNA from 1 species